UGAAAUAUUUGAACCCUGACACUGAGGUUUUAGUUCCAUUGAGAGCAGCCCACAUCAGCACAUCGAGGAGAGACGUCAGAGAGAAACAUCAGACGAACAGCCUUAAUAAUCAGUUUCAACAAUCAGGCCGAAGAUGCAGAGCAGUUUAUUUCUGCUCACUGUGAUGGGUCAGUGUUUCCUCGUCACUUGUCACCACAUUGAGUACCACCUCAUUGAAGAGGCAAAGACCUGGGAUGAAGCUCAGAGAUAUUGCAAAGAGAAAUACACAGACCUGGCUACAGUGUCUGACAUGACAGACAUGAAGAGAA